AUGCUGUGCUGCACUGCUGCUAGCAUUGACAUGGAGGGGAAGGUGUGGAAAACUAUCCGUGUGCCAUCUGGUGGUCUGACUUGUGGUAGAAUUGGUUUAUCACAGGGGUGCUUGCACUACUCUACGGCACCCAGGGUCAAGAAGAAAAAGAAGAAUACCACGGUAGCAUCAGUUUGGUUCAUGGAGGAUUAUGAUAGUAAAGAAUGGGUCUUGAAGCAUAGUGUUAGCAAUGAUGAGUUGCGGAACAUAAAUGGGGUGGGGUGGAGUACAAGGUGGCUGCUUUUCAUCCAGACUGCGACACCAUUUUUCUGGAAGCAUGUGGUGUUGAUGCAUUGGCAUCAUACGAUAUGCAGCAUCAGAAAUUCCAUCAAAUCCUUAAUCUUCGGGAAAAGAAGGCAUCGAAUUAUCUACCUUAUGUUCCACUUUUCUCAGACUCAUUAG
rnacentral:rRNA from 1 species